rnacentral:rRNA from 1 species
GCGUAAGAGCUCGUAGGUGGUUUGUUACGUCGGAUGUGAAAUCCCCGGGGCUCAACCCCGGAACUGCAUUCGAUACUGGCAAGCUAGAGUUUGGUAGGGGAGACUGGAAUUCCUGGUGUAGCGGUGGAAUGCGUAGAUAUCAGGAGGAACACCGAUGGCGAAGGCAGGCCCCUGGGCCAAUACUGACGCUG